UACAGAGGGGGCUAGCGUUGUUCGGAAUCACUGGGCGUAAAGCGCGUGUAGGCGGUUUGACAAGUCAGAUGUGAAAUCCCGGGGCUUAACCUCGGAACUGCAUUUGAAACUGUCAGGCUAGAGUACGGUAGGGGAUAGUGGAAUUCCUAGUGUAGAGGUGAAAUUCGUAGAUAUUAGGAGGAACACCGAUGGCGAAGGCAGCUAUCCGGGCCGUUACUGACGCUGAGACGCGAAAGCGUGGGGAGCAAACAGG
rnacentral:rRNA from 1 species